rnacentral:lncRNA from 1 species
UGCAAUGUGGUUUUCCCUGCGUAAGGAAAUUUCCAUUGAUCUUUUGACUUUUUAAGGAAAUUUGUUAAAAACUUAUAAUUUAUUCUCAAGUCAUUUGAAGAAACUGUACUUCACCUGUUUGAUGGUCUAUGAUGUUUACAUAAACAUUAUGAAAUGUACAUAGAUCAGAGCGCUACAGGGGGUAAUUCAACUUAUACAAACAGUUCCAGGCAAAGUGAUAAUAUCUGGUUUGUAGAGGACUGUUUCAUUAUGAAAAUUAAAUAAUGAAUUUGUAAUGUGAUAUACGUUAUAUUCUAUGACUUCAUGUUGUGGCAGUGGAAAUAAAAAAUUCUUAUGGAAGGAAACGUUGUUUUUUUUGUUGUUGCAUCAGUUCAAACCUACAACGCACUGCCGAAAACAGGUUGAUAUUAAAAACAUGUGUUAAAUACGACAACUAGGAAGAGAUGAAUAAACCUAAAUCCUCUCCACUUGAUAUUGUAUUAUUUUCACAUGAUUUUACGAGCAGUUAACUCGGAAGCAUGUUAAGUUUCUGGUAAUUUGAGAUUAAUGAAAACGAACCUUUAGUUAUUCUGUUUUUUAAAGACAGACCUAUUUCAUCAUAUUCAUUUAUUCAAAUUUCUGCUUUGUUCUUCAUUUCAUUAAACGUAUUCUGUAUUAAACUGGAAAUGAAUACAUGAUAAAAUCAAUAAUAAUUUACCCUGGACAAACGUGUCAUUAUAGUCCUAUCUGAUAAUAGACCUAUAAAUGAACAACUUAUUAAAUACAGAGUGAUUAUAAAAUCUGUGAUCAUAUUAUACAGAUGAUAAUUCUCAGAAUUGGUUAAGAAUGUAAUAAUUGUAAAAGUAAUUUGUUGUAAAGUUACGCCUUUUAGAGAUAACGACUUUGAACAAAUUUAAUUUUGACAUUUUUCACAUCAAAUAAUCAAAAAUAUUGUUCCUCGUCUAUCAGUUUUAUUUAUUUUUUUCAUAAAGGCAUUGAAUUUAAUUUCCAGCUUGUUCGAUUGCAUUGCAACAAAACGUGAGAAUAAUAUUUAAUUUGACAAGAAAUGUUGUCUCAAUCUAUAUAUUUACAUUUAGCCAAAGCUUUCACGAGGCCAAAACCUUGGUUGACAUUUGCAAAUGAAAUUUUGCCAAAUAAUCAAUCAAAUUUUCGUUUCCAUACACUUGAUAAGCAGCGAUCCGCUAUACAAUUACACGAUGUGACUGCUUAAGCGAACAAGGUUCAGAGAAGAUUGCUCAAACAUAGCUUACUGAAGAAAUGAACAUAACGGACCUAAAUGGAACUUCAUUAACUAAAAUGAAACUGGCGAAAGAUCGUUGAUGACCAACUCUUUGUAUUUGGGUUAGUCAUGUCAGCUGUUACGAGUAGCUUGUCAACUAAAUAGAUGCGUUAUUAACAAUUUAUCGAAUCGACUUUUACAAUAAAAGACGAGUUAAGUGUUACUAAAAAGCUACAUUUAAAUGUUCUCUCUAUUAUUUGAUUACGACUAAAUCAUUUCCAUCGCAAAAACUGUGUAGAUUUUAAUAAUCCUCUGAAAUUGUUACAAUUAGUAAAAUACAAAUGAGCAGACGAUUUUUAUCUCGAAAUCGGUUAAUACCUUUAAAGCACAAAUAUAUAAUGUAUGAUGUUAAGGAAAUUGUUUCAUCUUUAUUGGGAUGAAAUAUUUUUUUCUGUCUUUGCUAAGGAAGCAUAAAUGCCAUGAUGCCCGUUGUGAAAUAUGUAGUUAUGUAACACAUUUUGGGGAUAAUAAUAAAUUAUGUUAUAAAUGCAUGUUGAGGAUAAUUGAUCAGUUAAGUGGUUAACUAAAACAACACUAUAUUGUUUAUCUUCCUAUUUAUAACGUAUCCUGGAUGAUAACCCAUGUUUGAAAUUUAGUUACGGUACCUGGGUAAAAGUUAUUCCAAAGUAUGGUUAGCCCAAGGUUGUAUGACCUCUCUAGGUUAAUCAUACCAGCAGGUGCACGAGGUGGAGAUUCCAACUAAAUUUAUCGGAAGUUGUACAGAAAAGCGACAAAUUUAAUCUGGCAAACAUUGUGGUUGUAUUGUAUUGAUGGAUGGGAUGGGUGAUAACGUGAUAAAUUCUGCACCAAUCUGAUUGAUCGACUGUUGUCCAUCGCACUUGUUUGACAAGAUUUCGAUUGAAAAUUUUAGAUUGAAAAUUUCAUAAGCAUAUGUUUUAUCAACUUCAAAUGAUAUAGUAAAAAAAGGUUAAACACUUUCUGUAGAAAAUCAAUAAAAAGUUGUAUGCAAAAACAAUAAUAAGAUUGUAAUUUGACGAAAUGCGCUUUUUGAGACAUUUAAUGAAUAGUCUCUUAAUUAUCGUUUUUUGAAAUCACUUUUUUUAUUAGCAAGAGUCAUCAUAUUGACAAAUUGAGACACAAUUGACAAGGGUUAACAGAUGGCUUUAUGUAUUUUAGUAUGUUUACUAAUGUAUAAACCUCUUCACUACUUCCGUUCUAAGCUAUUACCCAGCAAACUGUAAGUGCUCGUUUAACGAUUUCGUUCUAACCACUGUCUAGAAUGCUGUUUUUACUGCUCCAGUUAAUAUAAAUACAUCCAUCUAUUUUGUAAUUUUGUAAUAUACGUGUUAUGCAAACUGUUUUCAUACAAUUACAGAGAACUUGUUUAAUUUUUUUAUAGCAGAAAUGUAAAAAUUGUCACGCCAAAACAUGUAAUAGAAAACAAGUUUAAAACAUCCUUUCGUGAAAAAAGGACAAUUUAUACAGAAAUACGAAGACAUAUAUAGCAAUGGCUUAACCGAUAUUCAAAACGCUUUGGUAGGAAACACCACGCACAUUCAGAGUUAAAAUAUGGAUUGAUUGAUUGGUGACAUAUAAACGUCCAGUGACAAAUGUCACUGUUUAAGCAUAUUCAGGAUGAGUCUAAACUUUAACAACAAUUCAAUCGGUAAUGUACAAACUCACAAUUUGAAAGUCAACAGAAAGACAUAUAUCUCGGGUUAAACACAUUCAUAUGACUCCAAACCGACCAGUUUUUGCUUUGUCUUCUAAUGCCACACCCUAGCGGAGAAGCAGCAUGUGCCAAUUUUAGAGUGUUUUAAGCAAACCUUUGACAGAACCUACGAACUCCUGCACUUGAACGGUAUGAAGAGAACACCUAGACGGUUUCAAAAGUCGGAAUGUAUGCAAUCAUGUGGAAAAUAUAUUUAAAAUAACAUCGAAAGAAUAGCCAUUACAAUCGAAUUUAAGUUUUUAGUUUAGGACAAAGAAAAUUAGCUUUGCAAAGUAUUGAAUCACUUAUAAGCUGAGAGGCUUACAGCUCACCAGGAGUGCUAUCGACACGUUAAGGACAAAAAGAGCCAAGAUGAUCAACUAAGCCAAGCUUUGUCUAUAUUUUUCUUAAGAACUACUAAAAAUAAUGCAUCAUCAGAGAAUGCAUGAUAUAAAAAAAAUUAUUCGAAAAGCAUUAACCUCUAGGAAGAUUGAUACUCUAGAGGACAAAUAGUCACGAAAUUAACGAAGAUUUGAAAAAAUGUAUCCGGACUUAGCCACACCUAGUUAAAACACGUUAUUUUAAUUAUUUUAUCCAGAUCCUUAAAACGAAUUUGAAAUCCGUUUCCUGAGAUCACGUCAGGAUUUGUAACACUGCUGAAAUUCUGUCGCUCCAUUUCACAAUACAGGCAGAUUUGAAAUAAGAUUAACUCUGUCUUAAAUAAAGUUUCCGCAGAAAACGUCUUUCCAUGAAAAGACAUUUAAACAAUUGUCAUGCGAACAUAUUUCGUUUGCUUAAGAAAAAUAUCUUUGUAUUGAUGUUGACAAGGUUUUUCCAUUAAAUUUAAUUCUGGUGACUACGACUACUGAACCUCGUACCAAAUCCCUUCUAAGUAUUUCCGGUAAAUGUUCGGUAUCAUAGUAACACAUCGACAGGCUUUGUGAUUGACAUUUAAUCCUCUUAGUGAAGGAAAACAUGAAGUUUUCUGUAAACAAAAAAAUAAUCUUAUUCAGUCAGAUUGAUACAAAUAAUAUUUUUGUAUUAUUUAAUAAAUCGCGUUUUCCAAAUGACCUGAGUAACUUGAUUUUAGAUUAUGAAAGAAACCUACGACAUUUCAUCACACAGGUACAAUUAUGUUAGUUACAGGUAAUAGCGGAAAUCAUUUGUAUUUCAUUGUCAUCUUAAAUUGCAAAGGUGUGCACUUAAGGUGGGGCUUACACAUUAUAAAAUCAUUUACAAAAUACUUUGAAUACCUGUGUGCAAAUAUGAACUUUUGACUCCUAUAGGCAGUGUGAGUUUUUUCGUUUUCAAUACGAAAAUUUAAUAUCAAUAAAUAUUUUGUGUAUUAAAUCUUAUCUUGCUACACUGUGAAGUAUACCAUAUCCGAGGAGGCUGUACAUAGGUCACACCAUCCUGAGCGUGAUCAACGUUGUUAAUUGGUCAUAUGGUAAGAGGCCAAAUCAUACGUGUAAUUGCUUAAUCAUUUAUGAAGACACAUCCGUUUCUAUUUUCAGCCAUUAAAGAAAUCUUUAUCUA